rnacentral:misc_RNA from 1 species
GCUUUUUGAAGAUCCCGAGCAAUUUCUUCGAGAAAGAGCUUCGUCCUACCAUAAGGAUUCAUCGCUCUCAGCGAGAAAUCUUCAACACAGGGUAUUUUUUCAGGUUGCCCGUAGACAGUAGCAGAUGAGGAAAAGACCAUCUUUUUACAACCAUAUUUCCUCAUAAACUCGUACAAAUUCAGUGUGCCAAUCAAAUUGUUGUCAUAAUAAAGAAGAGGUUUUGCGACACUCUCACCAACAGCUUUCAGCCCGGCAAAAUGAAUAACGGCAUCAUAUUUGGUCUUAGAGAACACCUUUUCGAGAUCAUCCUUGUUCCGGAGAUCACCAAGAUGGAAAGCGAGAUUCUGAGAAAGUUUGGGCCCGGCGAGACCCCGGACGCGAUCAACAGCCUCCUCGACGGAAUUGUCGAGGUUGUCGAUGAUGGUGACCCGGAACCCCUCUUUCAGGAGCUGCAGCACUGUGUGGGUGCCGAUGA